rnacentral:rRNA from 1 species
GAUGAACGCUGGCGGCGUGCCUAAUACAUGCAAGUCGAGCGAACAGACGAGGAGCUUGCUCCUCUGACGUCAGCGGCGGACGGGUGAGUAACACGUGGAUAACCUACCUAUAAGACUGGGAUAACUUCGGGAAACCGGAUCUAAUACCGGAUAAUAUAUUGAACCGCAUGGUUCAAUAGUGAAAGACGGUUUUGCUGUCACUUAUAGAUGUAUCCGCGCCGCAUUAGCUAGUUGGUAAGGUAACGGCUUACCAAGGCAACGAUGCGUAGCCGACCUGAGAGGGUGAUCGGCCACACUGGAACUGAGACACGGUCCAGACUCCUACGGGAGGCAGCAGUAGGGAAUCUUCCGCAAUGGGCGAAAGCCUGACGGAGCAACGCCGCGUGAGUGAUGAAGGUCUUCGGAUCGUAAAACUCUGUUAUUAGGGAAGAACAAAUGUGUAAGUAACUAUGCACGUCUUGACGGUACCUAAUCAGAAAGCAACGGCUAACUACGUG